rnacentral:rRNA from 1 species
CCUACGGGAGGCAGCAGUAAGGAAUAUUGGUCAAUGGAGGCAACUCUGAACCAGCCAUGCCGCGUGCAGGAUGACGGCCCUAUGGGUUGUAAACUGCUUUUAUACAAGAGAAAACCCUGGUACGUGUACCAGGUUGAUAGUAUUGUAAGAAUAAGCAUCGGCUAACUUCGUGCCAGCAGCCGCGGUAAGACGAAGGAUGCAAGCGUUAUCCGGAUUCAUUGGGUUUAAAGGGUGCGUAGGCGGACUGAUAAGUCAGUGGUGAAAUCUCUUUGCUUAACAAAGAAACUGCCAUUGAUACUGUCGGUCUAGAGUAUAGAUGACGUUGGCGGAAUAUGACAUGUAGUGGUGAAAUACUUAGAUAUGUCAUAGAACACCGAUUGCGAAGGCAGCUAACGAAACUAUAACUGACGCUGAGGCACGAAAGUGCGGGGAUCAAACAGGAUUAGAUACCCUGGUAGUCCGCACCGUAAACGAUGAUUACUCGUUGUUGGCGAUAUGACAGUCAGCGACCAAGCGAAAGCGAUAAGUAAUCCACCUUGGGGAGUACGCCGGCAACGGUUGAAACUUCAAAGGAUUGACGGCUUGAGACGNGCGAGGACGACGACGAGGGAGGAGG